CAUUCUCUCUCUCCAAACCCAGAACCCACUCACGCGAACCUUCCUUCAUCAGCCCAGAACACACUCACGCCGUCGAUUCAUUCACGAUGUCAAACCUUCCCCGUCGAUUCACUCACUCAUGUUGUCGAACCUUCCUUCCUUCGAUUCACUCACGCCGUCGAACCCCCAACCCAGCCACACAUUCUUCUCCCUUCAUCAGCCCAGAACACAUACUCUUCACCAUCGAUUCAUCGAUUUGCCACUGGAAAGUGAAAACACGAUCGAUUCAGAUUCACCUCCGAUUCACCACUUGAAUAGAAAUAAGAAACAACUGAAAGAAAGAACGAACAAAACUCAUUCUCCGUCAAACUCAUCCCUUCGUCAUCUCACCACCAUCGUCCCUAUCUUCAUUUAUAUCGGGUGUCCCUUGUUCUGGUGCCAAUGGAUACAUAAAUGGGUUCAAUCACAUAUAUACAGACCAGGGCAAGCUAUGAUGUUAUGGAAGUGUAUGUACGGAAACAAUAUUUGGGUGCAUCAUACUGAUGUUGGAAGGUUUUAACAAAGAUUUCAAGAAGAUGUUGAGUGAAAAUGCAGAUUUCAAGGCACUUGCUGUGAAAGAAAUUCACACGGCUUUUGAUGGAACUAGGAAGGUAAAGGUACCACAUCAAGGUUGAAGCAAUUGGAAAUGGAAUUUACUGUGUGGGCAUUGAAGCAUGAAAAAAUUGAUCAGCUCAAGUUAAUGGGUCAUGUUAUUUUGAGUGGAAUUACGAAGUCUCUUGACAAUCAAUCUAUUUCAGAAACAGGAGAAGUUAACAUAAGCUCUAACUGAAGAAGAGAGACAAGACCCUAGUCCUACGGACAUAUUACUCGAGGCUCUAAAUCUUCCAAGCUACUCUGGGCGUGUUAGGAGUUAUGAUUUUGGGGUAUGUUCUAGUUGGAAUGCAUGCAUGCAUCUAUAAAUUUGGCUAUGCAAAUGCCCUCUUUUUUUAAGUACACUAAAUGUCCUCUAUAUAUGUUAUGAUAUUUAAACAAGUGGAUUUGGUUAAAAAUGUCAUUUGGUAUUGAUGGAUCAUAAUAUGUAUGC